rnacentral:rRNA from 1 species
AGAGUUUGAUCCUGGCUCAGGAUGAACGCUAGCGGCAGGCUUAACACAUGCGAGUCGAGGGGUAACAGAGGUAGCUUGCUACUUGCUGACGACCGGCGCACGGGUGAGUAACGCGUAUACAAUUUGCCUUGUACAGGAGGAUAGCCUUUAGAAAUGAAGAUUAAUACUCCAUGGUUUAUUAGAAUCGCCUGAUUUUAAUAAUAAAGAUUUAUCGGUACAAGAUGAGUAUGCGUUCUAUUAGCUAGAUGGUAAGGUAACGGCUUACCAUGGCAACGAUAGAUAGGGGCCCUGAGAGGGGGAUCCCCCACACUGGUACUGAGACACGGACCAGACUCCUACGGGAGGCAGCAGUGAGGAAUAUUGGGCAAUGGAGGCAACUCUGACCCAGCCAUGCCGCGUGAAGGAAGACGGCCCUAUGGGUUGUAAACUUCUUUUAUAGAGGAAGAAACCCUCCCACGUGUGGGAGGCUGACGGUACUCUACGAAUAAGCACCGGCUAACUCCGUGCCAGCAGCCGCGGUAAUAAGGGCGA